rnacentral:rRNA from 1 species
UGCAGUCGAGGGGUAUAGUUCUUCGGAACUAGAGACCGGCGCACGGGUGCGUAACGCGUAUGCAAUCUACCUUUUACAGAGGGAUAGCCCAGAGAAAUUUGGAUUAAUACCUCAUAGUAUAUAGCCCUGGCAUCAGGAUUAUAUUAAAGUCACAACGGUAAAAGAUGAGCAUGCGUCCCAUUAGCUAGUUGGUAAGGUAACGGCUUACCAAGGCUACGAUGGGUAGGGGUCCUGAGAGGGAGAUCCCCCACACUGGUACUGGGACACGGACCAGACUCCUACGGGAGGCAGCAGUGAGGAAUAGUGGACAAUGGGCGCAAGCCUGAUCCAGCCAUGCCGCGUGCAGGAUGACGGUCCUAUGGAUUGUAAACUGCUUUUAUACGAGAAGAAACACUCCUUCGUGAAGGAGCUUGACGGUAUCGUAAGAAUAAGGAUCGGCUAACUCCGUGCCAGCAGCCGCGGUAAUACGGAGGAUCCAAGCGUUAUCCGGAAUCAUUGGGUUUAAAGGGUCCGUAGGCGGUUUAAUAAGUCAGUGGUGAAAGCCCAUCGCUCAACGGUGGAACGGCCAUUGAUACUGUUAGACUUGAAUUAUUAGGAAGUAACUAGAAUAUGUAGUGUAGCGGUGAAAUGCUUAGAGAUUACAUGGAAUACCAAUUGCGAAGGCAGGUUACUACUAAUUGAUUGACGCUGAUGGACGAAAGCGUGGGUAGCGAACAGGAUUAGAUACCCUGGUAGUCCACGCCGUAAACGAUGGAUACUAGCUGUUGGAAGC